rnacentral:snRNA from 1 species
AUGCCACCUUAGAGCAGUGAUCAUCGAGGCCGUGACUCCGUGCCGAGGCCACUCCAUUGCACUGUGGGUGGCUGACGCACGCCAAUAGCCCUAGUCGGGGUAGAUGGGGCAUGUAAUUUUUGGUAGUGGGGCUAGGCAUACGCCCCAGCCCCU